GACGAACGCUGGCGGCGUGCUUAACACAUGCAAGUCGAACGAUGAAGGGGUGCUUGCACCCUGGAUUAGUGGCGAACGGGUGAGUAACACGUGAGUAACCUGCCCUUCACUCUGGGAUAACUCCGGGAAACCGGUGCUAAUACUGGAUAUGACCUCAACCUGCAUGGGUAUGGGUUGGAAAGCUUGUGUGGUGGAGGAUGGACUCGCGGCCUAUCAGCUUGUUGGUGGGGUAGUGGCCUACCAAGGCGACGACGGGUAGCCGGCCUGAGAGGGUGACCGGCCACACUGGGACUGAGACACGGCCCAGACUCCUACGGGAGGCAGCAGUGGGGAAUAUUGCACAAUGGGCGGAAGCCUGAUGCAGCGACGCCGCGUGAGGGAUGACGGCCUUCGGGUUGUAAACCUCUUUCAGUAGGGACGAAGCUUUUGUGACGGUACCUACAGAAGAAGCACCGGCUAACUACGUGCCAGCAGCCGCCGUAAAAC
rnacentral:rRNA from 1 species